ACAAGCUACACAGAGUACGAGGUGGAUGCCUUGGCGCUCAAUGCCGAUGAAGGACGCGGCGACCGGCGAAACGUUCAGGGGGAGCUGCACGCAAGCGAUGAGCCCUGAGAGUCCGAAUGGGGCAACCCCUCCAGAGUAAUGUCUGGAGACCUUUGGGUCAAUCCAUAGCCCAAAGGAGGGCAGUGGGUGAACUGAAACAUCUCAGUAGCCCGACGAAAAGAAAUCAACACGAGAUUCCCGUAGUAGUGGCGAGCGAACCGGGAAGAGCCCAAACCAUUGGCUCGCAAGAGUCGAUGGGGUUGUAGGACUCGCAACAAACGCGCCUGUUCCACUUGAAGCGGCUGGAAGGCCGCACCAGAGCGGGUGAGAGUCCCGUAGAGGACGAGCAGGGGCGUGGGCGAGGAUCCUGAGUACCACGAGACACGUGCAAUCUUGUGGGAAGCUGGGGGGACCACCCUCCAAGGCUAAACACCUUCAGCGACCGAUAGUGAACCAGUACCGUGAGGGAAAGGUGAAAAGCACCCCGCAAGGGGGAUGAAACAGACCCUGAAACCACGUACUCACCAGCAGCCAGAGGCCACUGUGGCGUUGCGCCACCAAGGGCUGAUGGCGUGCCUUUUGUAGAAUGAUCCGGCGAGUGCAUCCGCGUCGCAGGUUAACCUCCGCUAAAGGAGGGGAGCCAGAGGGCAACCGAGUCCCAAACAGGCGCGGUGGCGCGGAUGCGACCCGAAACCACGUGAGCUCUCCAUGAGCAGAGUGAAGCGGCUGUGACAGGCCGUCGAGGCUCGCACCCACCAGUGUUGCAAAACUGGGGGAGGACUUGUGGAGAGAGGAGAAAUUCCAACCGAACGUGGAGAUAGCUGGUUCUCCCCGAAAUGCAUUGAGGUGCAGCCACGGGUGAAUGCUUCUGGAGGUAGAGCGCUGCAUGAGCUAGGGGCCAGGUGCUGGUUACCAAACUCAAGCAAACUGCGAAUGCCAGAAGCCUGUCCUCGUGAGUGAGACGGCGGGGGCUAACCUUCGUCGUCAAAAGGGAAACAACCCAGAUCACCAGCUAAGGUCUCCAAGUCGAUGCUUAGUGGGCAAGGCCGUCCGUGUGCUCUAACAGCCAGGAGGUUGGCUUAGAAGCAGCCAUCCUUCAAAGAGUGCGUAAUAGCUCACUGGUCGAGUGGACGGGCACCGACAACGUAGCGAGGCUCAAGCAUCGUACCGAAGCCAUGGAUCUCACUGCUGAGCAGUGAGAUGGUAGGGGAGCGUUCUGCGGCCGUGAAGCCAGACUGCAAGGACUGGUGGAGCCAGCAGAAGUGCGAAUGCCGGAAUGAGUAGCGCAAUCUGUGUGACAAUCACAGACACCGAAGGCCUGAGGGUUCCUGGGCAAUGUUUAUCAUCCCAGGGUUAGUCGGGUCCUAAGCCGAGGACGUUACAGUCGUAGGCGAUGGCAAGCAGGUGGAUAGUCCUGCACUAGAGCGCAGCGUCCAAGUGAAGCGGGGACGCGGUCAGGCAGGUGAACCCAGCAAGUGGACAGGCUGGGUGUGCUUUCCGGAGGACGGGUCGCAGGCAAAUCCACGACCCCCAUGUCUGACGGCAGCACCGAGCCCCCGAACAGGGGGCGGAAGUCACCCUCUCCCAUGCCGCCCAGAAAAGCCGCUAUCGAGCUGCUCGCUCUACCCGUACCGCACACCGACACCGGUAGGCAAGGAGCAAUCUCCUCAGGUGCACGAGUGACCCUCUGUCAAGGAACUCGGCAAAUUGACCCCGUACCUUUGGAAGAAGGGGUGCCCUAGUAGCGUCCUCUCGGAGGAGAGGGUGCGAGGGGGUCGCAGGAAAAGGGCUCAAGCGACUGUUUACCAAAAACACAGGUCUCUGCGAACGCGCAAGCGGAUAUAUAGGGGCUGACUCCUGCCCAGUGCCGGAAGGUGAAACCGAGUGGUGCGCGUAGCCACGACGUGAAGCCCCGGUGAACGGCGGCCGUAACUAUAACGGUCCUAAGGUAGCGAAAUUCCUUGUCGGGU
rnacentral:rRNA from 1 species